AACGAACGCUGGCGGCAUGCCUAACACAUGCAAGUCGAACGAGACCUUCGGGUCUAGUGGCGCACGGGUGCGUAACGCGUGGGAACCUGCCCUUAGGUUCGGAAUAACUCCCCGAAAGGGGUGCUAAUACCGGAUAAUGUCUUCGGACCAAAGAUUUAUCGCCUUUGGAUGGGCCCGCGUUGGAUUAGCUAGUUGGUAGGGUAAAAGCCUACCAAGGCGACGAUCCAUAGCUGGUCUGAGAGGAUGAUCAGCCACACUGGGACUGAGACACGGCCCAGACUCCUACGGGAGGCAGCAGUAGGGAAUCUUCGGCAAUGGACGGAAGUCUGACCGAGCAACGCCGCGUGAGUGAAGAAGGUUUUCGGAUCGUAAAGCUCUGUUGUAAGAGAAGAACGAGUGUGAGAGUGGAAAGUUCACACUGUGACGGUAUCUUACCAGAAAGGGACGGCUAACUACGUG
rnacentral:rRNA from 1 species